UGCCUCAUGCCUGUAAUCCCAGCACUUUGGGAGGCAGAGGAAGCUUGGCAGAGUUCUGUUCACUCGCCUGUGCCUGGGAGAGAAAGCAGAGGUCCCCAGGGAGAAGAAGAACCAGGUGCAGCUGUACAGGUCUCUUUAGAGUUUCAGGU